UGUGGGCCUAAGCCACAGCAUAGGCCAUCUAUCCUUCAUGUACGUGGGUAAGUGAUGAUGGCCUUCCUAACACUUCUCGUUCGCAUGAUUUUGUUGCAGGCAUUCAGGUGAGAAACGCUAAGAGUGCUUACUAAUUGUGGUAAGCCCGCGUUUAUGUUUUUUAUAUCUUAGAGAUAACUGAUGUUUAAGCCUGUGAGUGUUGUGGGUUGAUCACAUCUUGUAAGUGUCAUGGAGGUGCCACCACAGAAGUAAUCGUAGGAGUUUUGCAGGUGUCCAGUUAAGAAGUGAAGGUCGGGGCUUCCUAGGUGGCGCAGUGGUUGGGAGUCUGCCUGCCAAUGCGGAGGACAUGAGUUCAAUCCCUGCUCCAGGAAGAUCCCACAUGCUGCGGAGCAACUAAGACCGUGUGCCAAAAAAAAAAAAAAAAAAAUUAAAAAAAAAAAAGAAGUGAAGGUCUCUCCUGAUGAUGGCGUUCAGCGGAAUUCACGCAAGUACCCAGGUUCCUGUCAAGAGAACACUGUGAAGCUAACGAUGGUUGAAAACGGCACCUUGCUCUCAAGCCGGUCAUUGAUAAAAUGUGUCCUGCCGCAGUGAAGCCCAUCUGUGGUCUUCAGUAUGAAGAGAGAACGUAUUUAACAUGAUAGUGAUGAACAGAUGCGCAGGCCGUCCAGGUAACGUAUCAUAUCGGCAUCAUCAAGUUACUGACUGGGAAUUUUGUCAAGUAUCCCUUCAAGAGAAGAUGGCGUUUCUUGCCAGGAAUUGACCUUGCAUUCCUGCAACUGGCCAGGUAGUGUGGAUGGGUACCAGAGUGGUGCA